GGUAGAUUGAGUUUGAGGUGUGGCAGCUGAACUACAGAUCAGGGUAGAUUGAGUUUGAGGUGUGGCAGCUGAACUACAGAUCAGGGUAGAUUGAGUUUGAGGUGUGGCAGCUGAACUACAGAUCAGGGUAGAUUGAGUUUGAGGUGUGGCAGCUGAACUACAGAUCAGGGUAGAUUGAGUUUGAGGUGUGGCAGCUGAACUACAGAUCAGGGUAGAUUGAGUUUGAGGUGUGGCAGCUGAACUACAGAUCAGGGUAGAUUGAGUUUGAGGUGUGGCAGCUGAACUACAG